GCCAGGUAUGAUGGCACGUGUCUGUAGUCCCAGCUAUUCAGGUGGCUGAGGUGAGGAGAAUCACUUAAGAGUUUCAGCCUGUAGUGCACGAUGCCAUUUGGGUGUCCACUUUAAGUUUGGUCUCAAUAUGGUGAUCUCCUAGGAGUGGGAGACCACCAGGCUUGCCUAAGGAGGAGUGAACUGGUUCCAGUCAGAACUCCUGUGCUGAUUGUAGUGGGAUUGCACCUGUGAAUAGCCACUGCCCUCCAGCCUGGGUAACAUAGCAAGAAACUGUCUCU
rnacentral:SRP_RNA from 1 species